CCUACGGGAGGCAGCAGUGGGGAAUAUUGGUCAAUGGGGGCGACCCUGAAGCAGCAAAGCCGCGUGGGGGAUGAAGGUUUUCGGGAUGGAAACUCCUUUUGUUAGAGGAGAGAAUGACGGUAUGUAACGAAUAAGCAGCGGAUAACUCCGUUCCAGCAGCCGCGGUAAUGCGGAGGGAGCAAGCGUUAAUCGGAAUCACUGGGCGUAAAGGGGGCGUAGGGGGGAUAGCAAGUCAGAUGUGAAAUCCUAUGGCUUAACCCUAGAACUGCAUUUGAAACUGGUAUUCUAGAGUAUGGGAGAGGUAGGUGGAAUGCUUGGUGUAGGGGUAAAAUCCGUAGAGAUCACGAGGAAUACUCAUUGCGAAGGCGACCUGCUAGAACAUAACUGACGCUGAUGCGCGAAAGCGUGGGGAGCAAACAGGAUUAGAUACCCGUGUAGUC
rnacentral:rRNA from 1 species